UUCUCAGGGGUUCCAUGUAGUUCAGGGUGGCCCCUCCCUGUCUGUGGAUGACCCACCCUGUGGUCAGCCCUUUGCAAAGGAGCUGGGGCCCCAGGAUUCAGUCCUAGUGUGGCCUCUGCUCAGUUCUGCACCAUUGUCUGUAAAGCUCACUGGCAGUGUGUCUGGUACCCGGGAUGAGAGAGGAGGACCACGGCUUCUUUGGGGUCCUGGCUGCAGAAACCCUAAGUGGCGUCAGGGACAUCUGAGGCCAGCUGAUAUCAGGCUGGCAGGCCCCAGGAGAGUCAGGAUGCACGGGCUCUGUGGCAGGGGGCAGUUUGCUGCUUAGCAGACAGUUAGUCGAGUAGAUAGGGAAAAACAGAAUGUGAUUUAGCACUUAGUUAUGAUAACUGUCAAGAAAGGUUGAACAGGUAGAAGGGACUGGCCAGUGAGGCAGUGUUUCACAUCUCACAGUGAGCCCAACAUUCUUUGUAAACUUUUUUUUUUUUUUCCUUUGGCUGGUGGCUGGAACCCACCACCUCCAGCAUAGGGGGCCAGUGCCCUAUCCCUUUGAGCCACAGGCACCACCCUCUUUUUAAACUUUUCAUUCAGAAAAAAUGUCAAAGAAAUAGGACAGUAGAAGGAGGAGUGGUCCUCCAACACCGUCAGCUCGGCUCUGACUCUCGGCUCAGCCCUCAGCUCCACCUGCAGCGUGGCCCUUAGCAUUCUCCACAAGCCUGUGUCCUUGCCCAAGUUUCCCACUAGCUGUGUCUUCUAGUCCCUAUUCCUCUCCUGGUCCAUGUCCCCAGAUAGCAUAAAACUGUCCCAUGUGGUUAAUCUGUUUGAAGUGGGACCUAGACGUGGCUCAGGCUGCCUGGCAGGUGGCGUCACCACCUUCUCCAUCUGUGGUUCUCCUGUUUCUGUUCUGGUGCCAGCAGGGUGGGUCCAUGGCCCAGAGUAGAGUCGGCCGUAGGUUUUUCUUUUGGGAAGCAAAGCUCUGGUUUAAACUGAGGAACAAGACAGGAUGUUUGCCAUGUGUCUUCUAUUUGGUAUUCAUUAAACUCAGAGAAGAAAACAGUAGAGGCAAAAGUACUGGUUACAAGAAGGCAUUUGUGAAUAGUUAUUAGUGUAGAAAUUUCAUUUAUAUUUAUAGACAGAGUCUCACUUUGUCGCCCUCGGUAGAGUGCUGUGGUGUCACAGCUCACAGCAACCUCCAGCUCCUGGGCUUAGGUGAUUCUCUUGCCUCAGCCUCCCUCCCAAGUAGCUGGGACUACAGGCGUCCACCACAAUGCCUAGCUAUUUUUUGUUGUUGUUGUUGUUGCAGUUUGGCCAAGGCCAUGUUCGAUCCUGCCACCCUCAGUAUAUGGGGCCAGCACCCUACUCACUGAGCCACAGACACUGCCUAGUAUAGAAAUUUUCUAAGUUGUUAGACUGUGGAGUUUAGCGAGAUUGCUGGAUAUAAGAGGGUUUCUUUUUGUUGUUGUUGUUGUUUUGAGAAUCAUCUCACUUUGUUGCCCUCGGUAGAGUGCUAUGGCAUCACAGCUCACAGCAACCUCAAACUCUUAGGCUUAAGUGAUUCUCUUGCCUUAGCCUCCUGACCAGCUGGGACUACAGGCACCCACCACAAAGCCUGGCUAUUUUUUUAGAGAUGGGGUCUCGCUCUGGCUCAGGCUGGUCUUGAACGUAAGCUCAGGCAAUCCACCCACCAUGGAGUGCUAGGAUUACAGGCAUGAGCCACUGCUCCCAGCUUGAAUAUAAGGUUUUAACAAAGGUUAAAAGUCAUACCUAGAAACAAAUCAUAAAAAGCAUAUAUAAAACACAUAAAGAGGGGCGGCGCCUGUGGCUCAAAGGAAUAGGGUGCCAGGAAGUGGUGGGUUCAAACCCAGCCCCGGCCGGGGGGACGAAGUAUUCCGGUUGCUUUGCGUGUUAGUUUGUUUCACUGCGAUGUUUCCAAGAGUCUCCACCGCUCCUGCCACUUCUCCCCCUUUCCCGCCACCCUUUGUCUUCUGGAAGCCCGGAGGCAUCGACAGCUGCGUUUGUGCUGCUCGUGCUCCGCACAGAAUGGUCAGGACAAAAAAUAAUAUUCAAAGACAUUUUGGCACUAGCAGUGUGAUCCAUAGCAAGAAAGAUGAGCAGCCUGUUCCAACCAGUGAGAUUUCCAGCGAAACUUCAGAGAGCCAAGACAGUAUAAAGGAAAAUAGGAAAAAAGACUUGUUAGGUAUUAUUAAAGGCAUGAAAGCUGAAUUAAGCACAGUGAAUGUACAGACCACAAAGCCACCCAAGAGAAGACCUCUUAAAAGUUUGGGGACUACACUUGGCAGGCUUCAGAGAACUACAGAACAUGCCAAGAAGAGAAAUGAGACCCUGAGUCCUGAGCUGGUGGCAGCUGCCUCUGCUGUUGCAGAUUCCCUCCCUUUUAACAAGCAGAUGACCAAGACAGAACUGCUUAGACAGCUCCAACAGCAUGAGGAAGACUCAAGGGCACAGAAAGAUGAAGGGAGACCUAAAAUUAGUUUUAGUAACAUAGUAUCAGAUAUGAAAGUUGGCAGAUUGUCUACAGCCAGAGUUAAUACAAGACCAGAGCAUCAGAUCCAAUUUGAUGAAGGACCUGACAGUUAUACUGGCCAAGAAAAGACCACUAAUCUUAGAAAAAGGAGAGAUUUAUUCAAGGGGAAAAGACUUAAUAUUUUUGACAGUAAGGCAUUUACUGGAGAAGCGCCUGAAACAGACAGGUCACCUUCACUUUGGGAUGUGGAAUUUGCUAAGCAGUUAGCCACAAUAACUGAGCAGCUUUUCAGAAUGGGUUUGAAGAGAUGAUCCAGUGGACUAGAGGGGGGAAGCUGUGGGAAUUCCCGAUUAACAGUGAAGCAGGUUUCCAUGAGGAUGGUUCAGAAUUUCAUGAACAUAUAUUUCUGGAUAAAUACCUGGAGGAUUUCCCAAAACAAGGACCAGUUCGCCACUUCAUGGAGCUGGUGACAUGUGGCCUUUCCAAAAACCCAUAUCUGAGUGUUAAACAGAAGGUUGAGUGCAUAGAGUGGUUUAGAAAUUAUUUUAAUGAGAAAAAGGAUAUUUUAAAGUAACAUACAGUUCAAUUAAAACCAUGGAAAUUUUUAUUUCAAGCUGCUAGAGAUGGCUAUAACUAAAUAAAAUAAUUUUAUUA